rnacentral:rRNA from 1 species
AUUGAACGCUGGCGGCAGGCCUAACACAUGCAAGUAGAACGAGUGGCGGACGGGUGAGUAAUGUCUGGGAAACUGCCUGAAGGAGGGGGAUAACUACUGGAAACGGUAGCUAAUACCGCAUACCAUCGGAUGUGCCCAGAUGGGAUUAGCUAGUAGGUGGGGUAAAGGCUCACCUAGGCGACGAUCCCUAGCUGGGCUGAGAGGAGGACCCGCCACACUGGAACUGAGACACGUUCCAGACUCCUACGGGAGCCAGCGUUGGGGAAUAUUGCACAAGGGGCGCAGGCCUGAUGCAGACAUGCCGCGUGUAUGAAGAAGGCCUUCGGGUUGUAAAGUACUUUCAGCGGGGAGGCGUUACCCGCAGAAGAAGCACCGGCUAACUCCGUGCCAGCCGCCGCGGUAAUUC